GCGGGUUUAGCUCAGUUGGGAGAGCGUCAGACUGAAGUCAAACUUCAUCCAAGUCAUCUGAAGGUCGUGUGUUCGAUCCACACAAACCGCA
rnacentral:tRNA from 1 species